UGGUUUGUUAGCGGUGGUUGGCUCUAUUAAACAACUUCCACCCUACAUUCCUGUUCAUUUGUCCGGUAACGCUUUAGGUGCCUAAACAAAUUGUGGGUUUCUUGUGUUGCAUACCUUACAUGGGUAUUGAUCUGGCUUAUCAAAUUUUUUUCAUUUGUUGUCGUGCUUAAGACAUCCGAUGAAACGCUGAGCAUGCCUCUCUGAACCACAUCAUUAAUUCUUGUGUUGAUGUAGUGGAGCAUUGAGUCUUGCUUGGUAUCUUUUUGAUGUAGUACCUGAUGUGGGCAUGGGUCUCAUGGGAUCCUUGUUUUGUCCUGGUUUUGUGUUUACGUUUUGUUAAAUGACUGCUUGACGCGCGUUUUCUGGUAAAACGUGUCAGGCUUUGUCUAUGAGGAAUGUUACCUGGU
rnacentral:misc_RNA from 1 species